rnacentral:rRNA from 1 species
GAUGAACGCUCGCUACAGGCUUAACACAUGCAAGUCGAGGGGAAACGCUGAGAGAGCUUGCUCUCUUAGGCGUCGACCGGCGCACGGGUGAGUAACGCGUAUCCAACCUACCCAUUACAGGGGGAUAACCUUGCGAAAGUAAGACUAAUACCCCAUGGCAUUUUAUGGUGGCAUCAUUAUAGGAUUAAAGAUUUAUUGGUAAUGGAUGGGGAUGCGUCUGAUUAGCUUGUUGGCGGGGUAACGGCCCACCAAGGCAACGAUCAGUAGGGGUUCUGAGAGGAAGGUCCCCCACAUUGGAACUGAGACACGGUCCAAACUCCUACGGGAGGCAGCAGUGAGGAAUAUUGGGCAAUGGGCGAGAGCUUGAACCAGCCAAGUAGCGUGCAGGAUGACGGCCCUAUGGGUUGUAAACUGCUUUUAUAGGGGAAUAAAGUGAGCUACGUGUAGUUUAUUGCAUGUACCCGAUGAAUAAGGACCGGCUAAUUCCGUG